UACGUAGGGACCGAGCGUUGUCCGGAAUCAUUGGGCGUAAAGCGUGUGUAGGCGGGCGGGCAAGUACCUUGUGAAAUCCCACGGCUCAACCGUGGAACGGCUGGGUAUACUGCCUGUCUUGAGCCAACUAGGGGCGAGCGGAACAGACGGUGGAGCGGUGAAAUGCGUAGAUAUCGUCUGGAACGCCAAAGGUGAAAACAGCUCGCUGGGGUUGUGCUGACGCUGAGACACGAAAGCCAGGGGAGCGAACGGG
rnacentral:rRNA from 1 species